rnacentral:rRNA from 1 species
UACGAAGGGGGCUAGCGUUGCUCGGAAUCAUUGGGCGUAAAGCGCACGUAGGCGGAUUGUUAAGUCAGGGGUGAAAUCCUGGAGCUCAACUCCAGAACUGCCUUUGAUACUGGCGAUCUCGAGUCCGGGAGAGGUGAGUGGAACUGCGAGUGUAGAGGUGAAAUUCGUAGAUAUCAGGAGGAACACCGGUGGCGAAGGCGGGUCUCUGGGCCGAUACUGACGCUGAGGAGCGAAAGCGUGGGGAGCGAACAGG